CGCGGCGCGGACGACGUGCGAUCUGGGGCUGGAUGCCGGGUACCCUGGCCUCUGCGCUUCCUGUUACAGAGUUUUUUUUUCUAAGAGGGAUUGGUGUCUGCGCCGCUUAAAGUGAGAGGAAGAGGAAGUGGCUCGGCGUGAGGCAUCCUCUCGGAUGGAGAAACCCGCGAACAGCAGCCGCGUCUAAUCCAUGGCCCCUGCUUCGCGGGGCAGGGCGCGACCACUGGUGGGCGACCUGGUGACAGCUCAUUCGUAUUUGUCCUUUUGUACAAAGCGGUUUACUGUAGUAGGUGGGGAGCAAGUGUUCUGGACCCUUUGGAGAAGAGUGCUGUUUAACAUUUCUUCCCAGGCCUACCCUGGGCUGGCUGUGUGGUCAGGUCACAGAUAAACAAAGCCUUGCACAAGCCUGAGAUCGAUAUGCUUAUAUAAAUAUAAGGUACUGAGGCAACACAAAAGAGGAAGGAUUAAUCCGUAGGACACGAGGCGAUGGCUGCCACGGUGUUUGAAGGGGAACCAAGUUUGUCAAACUGGAAAUGUGGGGAAAGACUCAGCAGUUCCAAGGGACACCAAUCUGGUCACCUGCCUUAAUCCGCUCAUCGCUCCACCUCCUUAGGCAUGUAUCUAGAAGGAAGUUUCUUUUGUCUAUUCAAUUUGAUAUUCUCUGUCUUUUAACAGAAAUAAACGGUUCCUCAAAUGCUCUUAGAAUCAGCUUUACCAUCCUACUGGUUCCCUCAUCAAUUAAAAUAAAAUCUCUGACAUGGG